GACGAACGCUGGCGGCGUGCCUAAUACAUGCAAGUUGAGCGAUGAAGAUUGGUGCUUGCACCAAUUUGAAGAGCAGCGAACGGGUGAGUAACGCGUGGGGAAUCUGCCUUUGAGCGGGGGACAACAUUUGGAAACGAAUGCUAAUACCGCAUAACAACUUUAAACAUAAGUUUUAAGUUUGAAAGAUGCAAUUGCAUCACUCAAAGAUGAUCCCGCGUUGUAUUAGCUAGUUGGUGAGGUAAAGGCUCACCAAGGCGAUGAUACAUAGCCGACCUGAGAGGGUGAUCGGCCACAUUGGGACUGAGACACGGCCCAAACUCCUACGGGAGGCAGCAGUAGGGAAUCUUCGGCAAUGGACGAAAGUCUAGCCGAGCAACGCCGCGUGAGUGAAGAAGGUUUUCGGAUCGUAAAACUCUGUUGGUAGAGAAGAACGUUGGUGAGAGUGGAAAGCUCAUCAAGUGACGGUAACUACCCAGAAAGGGACGGCUAACUACGUG
rnacentral:rRNA from 1 species